CUCGGGAAACUGAGGAUAAACCGCGAUAGGCCAUAAUUACUGGAAUGGGUUAUGGCUUAAACCUAUAUGGCCUCUGGAUUGGACUGCGGCCGAUCAGGCUGUUGGUGAGGUAAAGGCCCACCAAACCUGUUACCGGUACGGGCUCUGAGAGGAGGAGCCCGGAGAUGGGCACUGAGACAAGGGCCCAGGCCCUAUGGGGCGCAGCAGGCGCGAAACCUCUGCAAUAGGCGAAAGCCUGACAGGGUUACUCUGAGUGAUUCCCGCUAAGGGGAUCUUUUGGCACCUCUAAAAAUGGUGCAGAAUAAGGGGUGGGCAAGUCUGGUGUCAGCCGCCGCGGUAAUACCAGCACCCCGAGUGGUCGGGACGAUUAUUGGGCCUAAAGCAUCCGUAGCCGGUCAUGCAAGUCCUCCGUUAAAUCCACCUGCUUAACAGAUGGGCUGCGGAGGAUACUACAAGGCUAGGAGGCGGAAGAGGCAAGCGGUACUCAGUGGGUAGGGGUAAAAUCUCUGAUCCAUUGAAGACCACCAGUGGCGAAGGCGGCUUGCCAAUACGCGCUCGACGGUGAGGGAUGAAAGCUGGGGGAGCAAACCGGAUUAGAUACCCGGGUAGUCCCAGCUGUAAACGAUGCAGACUCGGUGAUGGGCCGGCUUUAUGCCGGCUCAGUGCCGCAGGGAAGCCGUUAAUUCUGCCGCCUGGGGUGUACGGCGCAGACUG
rnacentral:rRNA from 1 species